CGAUAUCUAUUAACCGUGGUAAGCGACCAGUAAAGUUGAUUGGGUUCUGAUUUACCUGUUAUCUGAAGUACGACCCGUUGAAAAACAUGGAAACGAACCCGCGCACCAAAUGGCAAAUUCACUUAAUAUCACGCGGCACGCACGUCAGAAGUUAUACGUUUGUUUACCCGGAUGGCUGGAUACUACUGUAUUUUUAUAGUACAUUAGUAUUUUUUACUACUUAAUUUACAUUUUCUUAUUUGCUAUAACUUAUGUACCAGAACCAGGCUUAGUAGUUAUUAUUUUUUGCUCAUUCUUUGCAAAUUAUUAGAUAUUGUUUUUAACCAAUAAUUACACGUAGUGGCAGAUUUUGAAUUUUAUUAAUAUGGUGAAUUUGUUCAAUUUUUCAACAACAAUGUAUCAUUCAAAACAGCAAUGAAUCGAGUUUGUUCACGUUUCUUAAAGGUCAUAGUCGUGUCGUCCAACGAAACAGAUUUGGAUACCAGUGAAUUGAAAAUGCAAACAUGUGGCUAGGGAAUCUGCUGUGUCUAGAUAUUUCAAUGUAAUUGUACAAUGCCUAUUAAAAACAUGGUUGUACCGUCUGGUUCUACAAACAGUAAAAGAAAUAAUAGCAACAAGUCUAUGUACCACAAGACCAGAUUCGUAUUAUAGGUAGUAGGUACUACAAUUUUUGUAAGUUUUACGAAAUGGUUUUAUUUUUUAACCAACGUACCUAUGAUAUGAGUAGGUAUAAAAAUAAAAAUGAUUAACUUUUAAUGUAAAUUAUUUUUUAUUUGUUUUUUAUUAUGUAGGCUGUAGUAUGGGUGUAGGGUCAAUCUCCAAAUCAUUGAAAAUACUUGACAUAUUUUGUGCUUCCUAAAACAUAAUUUAAUAGUAAAAUUGUAUUAAUUAAAAUUUGAAGGGCAAAAGAAAUUACAACUUAAUAUGCAAUGCUUCUGAAUAUGGUAAGUACCUACAUCCCAAUAUUAUCUAUUAUUAGUUACAUAUUUAAAUUUUAUUUAAUACAAUGUGUAAUAGCCCCAUGUAUACAAAUUACAACCGUUAUUAUAAUAUAAGAUAUAUAAAUAUACCUAUGAGUGCCGCCCUAUUCCCUCAAACUAAGGAUCUACCUUUAUUAUAGGUAUAAGUUUCUUAUAUUAGAUGGAGUUCUUUAUUAUAAGCUUAUGUCGUUCAUAUUAUAUUAUAGAAUAUCAGAGCAGGUAGCAAAUGUGAUGA